CCUCUAUAGUUUCGGCUCUUCUUCUACCGUUUUCAAUGAUUUUAGUCAAAAUCCCCAAUUUCUUUUUCUUCUCCUUCUUCCCUCAAUCCAAGUUGCUGCUUCCGGCACCGCCGGAGGUUGGCCUCCCUCAACCCAAAUCGCAAAACUAACUGCAGUAAAUGAAAAUCUUUGAAUUUGAAAACCAGAGAAGAAUAUGCCUCACUUGGAUUCUCCUGCCAUGGCUUGUAAUUCCUCCACUUCUCCGAACCACACGAAAUUUUGUUUCAUUCAAGAUUCGCAGGAAGAAUGUGUGAAUUUUAUAUAUUCUUGUAUGGAUUGUAUUUUUAGGGUUUUCAAUAUUGGAUUCAAGCGCGAUUGGAUGCGAUAAUUGUUUUAAAAUUAGGGUAAGUGAUUGGCUUUUAAAUCUAGCUGGGGACUUUGUUUAGAUGGGAAAAUCAGGGUCUGGAUACAAAGAAGGAAGGAAGAUGAUAAUCAAACGAAUGACUGUCAAGAGAUAUGUUUUUUUUUCUUUUGUGGUUUUUUUCAUUGGGAUGGUUUAUCUUCAAGUGAUAAUUGUUUGCUUUCAAAUGAGUCUUUUGUUAAGAGAUCGUUUAUGUUUUAUAUUUCGUUAAAAUUUGAUUGUAUUGUUGAUUCCUUUA